rnacentral:rRNA from 1 species
GGAUUGAGACAACGUACAAACCUUAUCGAUAAACAAUUGGAGGGCAAGUCUGGUGCCAGCAGCCGCGGUAAUUCCAGCUCCAAUAGCGUAUAUUAACGUUGUUGCAGUUAAAAAGCUCGUAGUUGAAAUGAAGGGUAGUUGUGUAAUGAAUACAUUCGUGUAUUUUGUUAUUCAAGUACCCUCCUUCUAAAUUCGAUAUAUGAGUAUUAAUUUACUUGUAUAUGGUUUUAGACUUUUACUGUGAGAAAAUUAGAGUGUUCAAAGCAGGCAUUUGCUUGAAUAUAUUAGCAUGGAAUAAUCAUGUAUGAUUUUCAUGAUGUAUUUGAUUGGUUUGGUUGAUGAGAAUAAGAUUAAAAGGGACAGUUGGGGGUAUUCAUAUUCAAUAGUCAGAGGUGAAAUUCUCGGAUUUAUGGAAGAUGAACAAGUGCGAAAGCAUUUACCAAGGAUGUUUUCAUUAAUCAAGAACGAAAGUUAGGGGAUCGAAGAGGAU